rnacentral:rRNA from 1 species
UUCUUUUAGAAUAGGAUUAAAAGUAAAGUCUGCUCCAUGAAUAAUUUAAAUAGCUGCAGGAGACUGUACUAAGGUAGCAUAAUCAUUUGUUUUUUAAUUGAAAACUAGAAUGAAAGACUUAAUGAAUUAUAAAAUUUUCUUUGUUUGAAUAUUGAAAUUAAAUUAUAGGUAAAAAUACUUAUAUAAAUUUCAGGGACGAGAAGACCCUAUAAAGCUUAGUACCUUAACUUAUAUGGAUAAAGGGUAAUUUUGUUGGGGAAACAUUAUAUGAUAAAAUCAUAUAUCUGAGCCAUAAAUUAUGAUUGAAAGUAAAGUUACUUUAGGGAUAACAGCACGAUAAAAAAGUUUAAGAACAUAUUAAAUUUUUUGUUUGUGACCUCGAUGUUGGAUUAAUGUACCACUUAUGUAGUAUAAGACUUAAAAGGUGUCUGUUCGACAAUUAAAUCUUUACA